UCUCCGUAGGUGAACCUGCGGAGGGAUCAUUACAGAGUUCUCGCCCUCGCGGGUGGAUCUCCCACCCACUGUUAUCGUUACUGUGUUGCUUUGGCGGGCCGCCGGGCCCCGCUCGGCCGCCGGCUCCGGCUGGCGCGCGCCCGCCAGAGGCCCAGCAAACUCUGAAUGUUAGUGUCGUCUGAGUACUAUAUAAUAGUUAAAACUUUCAACAACGGAUCUCUUGGUUCUG
rnacentral:misc_RNA from 1 species